AGGUAUUGUGGAUUGACUGAAAUUUGAAUUGCUAGUACAAGAGAUAUGCCUUCUAAACGCAAAAGAACACGUGAGCCAUCCCCACCACUUAGCGAAUCCCCGUGUGCUUCACUUGCCAACAAUGGUGGGCCACCGUCACUAGAACCAGAACAAGCUGUUGUAAACCAGCGCCGAGUUAGAGGCAUUACGAGGGGUGUCUGCAUAGAAAAAGUA